rnacentral:rRNA from 1 species
UUAGGGAGUGAGAUAGGCAAAUCCGUCUCACACAUAUCCUGAGACCUGAUAGUGACCGCGAAUGCGGGAAGCAGGGUGAUCCUAUGCUGCCAAGAAAAUCUUCUAGCGAGGUUCGAGCCGCCCGUACCCCAAACCGACUCAGGUGGUUAGGUAGAGAAUACCAAGGCGAUCGGGUGAAUCGUGGUUAAGGAAUUCGGCAAAAUGCCCCCGUAACUUCGGGAGAAGGGGGGCCCAGACUCUGAAGUCACUUGCUGACUAGGGGAAAGGGCCGCAGAGACCAGGGAGAAGCGACUGUUUACUAAAAACACAGGUCCGUGCGAAGUCGCAAGACGAUGUAUACGGACUGACGCCUGCCCGGUGCUGGAAGGUUAAGAGGACGGGUUAGAUCUUCGGGUCGAAGCUCAGAAUUUAAGCCCCAGUAAACGGCGGUGGUAACUAUAACCAUCCUAAGGUAGCGAAAUUCCUUGUCGGGUAAGUUCCGACCUGCACGAAUGGCGUAACGACUUCUCCACUGUCUCAACCGCGAACUCGGCGAAAUUGCACUACGAGUAAAGAUGCUCGUUACGCGCAGCAGGACGGAAAGACCCCGGGACCUUCACUAUAGCUUGGUAUUGGUGUUCGGGACGGCUUGUGUAGGAUAGGUGGGAGACUUUGAAGCCGGCACGCCAGUGUCGGUGGAGUCAACGUUGAAAUACCACUCUGGUCGUUCCGGAUGUCUAACCUCGGUCCGUGAUCCGGAUCAGGGACAGUGCCUGGUGGGUAGUUUAACUGGGGCGGUUGCCUCCUAAAAGGUAACGGAGGCGCUCAAAGGUUCCCUCAGCCUGGUUGGCAAUCAGGUGUCGAGUGUAAGUGCACAAGGGAGCUUGACUGCGGGAGAGACAUCUCGAGCAGGGACGAAAGUCGGAACUAGUGACCCGGCGGUGGCUUGUGGAAGCGCCGUCGCUCAACGGAUAAAAGGUACCCCGGGGAUAACAGGCUGAUCUUGCCCAAGAGUCCAUAUCGACGGCAUGGUUUGGCACCUCGAUGUCGGCUCGUCGCAUCCUGGGGGUGGAGUCGCUCCCAAGGGUUGGGCUGUUCGCCCAUUAAAGCGGUACGCGAGCUGGGUUUAGAACGUCGUGAGACAGUUCGGUCCCUAUCCGCUGUGCGCGUAGGAAACUUGAGAAAGGCUGACCCUAGUACGAGAGGACCGGGUUGGACGAACCUCUGGUGUGUCAGUUGUUCUGCCAAGAGCACCGCUGAUUAGCUACGUUCGGAAGUGAUAACCGCUGAAAGCAUCUAAGCGGGAAGCACGAUUCAAGAUGAGGUUUCCAUGGGGCUUGCCCCGAGAGGCUCCCGGCUAGACUACCGGGUUGAUAGGCCAGACGUGG